GCUGGGCGUGGUGGCUCACGCCUGUAAUCCCAGCACUUUGGGAGGCUGAGGCGGGUGGAUCACCUGAGGUCAGGAGUUUGAGACCAGCCUGACCAACAUGGAGAAACCCCGUCUCUA
rnacentral:SRP_RNA from 2 species